UACGUAGGGGGCGAGCGUUGUCCGGAUUUAUUGGGCGUAAAGAGCGUGUAGGCGGCCAGGUAGGUCUGCUGUGAAAACUCGAGGCUCAACCUCGAGACGUCGGCGGAAACCAUCUGGCUAGAGUCCGGAAGAGGAGAGUGGAAUUCCUGGUGUAGCGGUGAAAUGCGCAGAUAUCAGGAAGAACACCCGUGGCUAAGGCGGCUCUCUGGGACGGUACUGACGCUGAGACGCGAAAGCGUGGGGAGCGAACAGG
rnacentral:rRNA from 1 species